GACCGCGUAGUUCAGUUGGCAGAGCAUUGGGCUAGUAUUCCAAAGGUCGUAGGUUCGAUUCCCACCGUGGCCG
rnacentral:tRNA from 1 species